GACGAACCGAGCGAACGUUAUUCGGAAUCACUGGGCUUAAAGGGUGCGUAGGCGGGCUGUCAAGUCUGGGGUGAAAUCCCACGGCUCAACCGUGGAACUGCCUCAGAUACUGAUGGCCUCGAGGAAGGUAGGGGCAUGCGGAACUGUAGGUGGAGCGGUGAAAUGCGUUGAUAUCUACAGGAACUCCGGUGGCGAAAGCGGCGUGCUAGACCUUUUCUGACGCUGAGGCGCGAAAGCUAGGGGAGCAAACGGG
rnacentral:rRNA from 1 species